rnacentral:rRNA from 1 species
CCUGCAUCAAGAAGCCGCCUGGUGGAUGGCUUGGCUCGGGCGCCGAGGAAGGGCGCGGCAAGCUCGCGAUAAUCCCGGGGUAGGCGCAUGCGGCCUUUGAUCCCGGGGUCCCCUAAUGGGGCUUCCUGCCACGGUGAACCCGUGGCGUCCCGUAAGGGACGGGAACCCCCCGAACGGAAACAUCUUAGUAGGGGGAGGAAGAGAAAUCAACAGAGAUCCCCUGAGUAGGGGCGACCGAAAGGGGGAGAGCCCAAACCAAAUCCCCCCGGGACAACUGGGGGGAGAUGUGGGGUAGUGGGCUUGGGGCACCGCCGAGGCGACCUAGCCGAAGUGGGCUGGAAAGCCCCACCAGAGAGGGUGACAGUCCCGUAGGUUAAAGGUCGUUGGCGGAUUCCCAAGUUCCGGAGUACCAUGCCUCGGUUCUGGCAUGGGAAGCUGGGGGCCACUGGCCUCCAAGGCUAAAUACGUCCCGAGACCGAUAGCGUACAAGUACCGUGAGGGAACGCUGAAAAGCACCCCGGAAGGGGGGUGAAAAGAGCCUGAAACCAGGCGGUUAAAGGAGGAGCGGCCUCAAAGGAUUCCCCGAUUCAAAGGAAACCAAGGCAACUUGGGAGUACGAGGAUCGGGGCCGGGGUCGCUCCUUACGUCUAGAAACACGGGCCAGGGAGUGCUCGCUCGUGGCGAGUUUAAGGGGGAUAAUCCCCGUAGGCGUAGGGAAACCGACCAGCCCGCAGCCGAGCAAUCGGCGAGGGGCGGGGUCUUAACGGGCCCGGAGCCACGGGCGGGCGACCCGAAACCGAGCGAUCUAUCCCGGGGCAGGGCGAAGCGGGGUGAAAGCCCCGUGGAGGCCCGAAGGGGUUCUGACGUGCAAAUCGUUCCUCUGACCCUGGGAUAGGGGCAAAAGACCAAUCAAGCUCGGUGAUAGCUGGUUCCCCCCGAAGUGGAUCUAAGUCCAGCCUCCCCAGAGGAUGCUCACGGGGUAGGGCACCGAUCUAGGGCGCAGGGGCCGAAAGGCCCCGGCUCUGGGUCGAACUUCGAACCCGUGGGCUCCGUAGAAGGGGGGAGACGGGUUUCCCGGGGGUAAGCUUGGGAACCGAGAGGGGAACAACCCAGACCGGGGUUAAGGCCCCUAAGCGCGGGCUAAGUGCUAAUCCGGAAGGGAGUCUCCCGCCGAAGACGGCGGGGCCGUAGGCCCAGCAGCAGCCAUCGGCUAAGAAGUGCGUAACAGCUUACCCGCUGAGGCGGGGGGCCCUUAAGAUGUGCGGGGCUUAAGCCCGCCGCCGAGACCCCGGGCCAUGGAUCAUUGGAUCCAUGAGCGGUAGGGGGGCGUGGCCAUGGGCUAGAAGGCGGGCCGUGAGGUCCGCUGGACCCGUGGCCAAUGCGGAUCCUGGCAGUAGUAGCAGCGUCUAGAGGAGUUAAAGGCUCCUCCGCCGGUUGGGCAAGGGUUCCAUGGCAACGACAAUCAGCCAUGGGUUAGCCGGUCCUAAGGCAGAGCCCCAUAGGCAUCUGCCGAAAGGGAAACGGGUUAAUAAUCCCGUGCCGUGGGGAUAGGUUCAGCGGCAACGCGUGCCCUGCUUCCGACGCCUCCGGAUACGGCGAGCGGGACCGCCGUCCCGUUUAACCGCCGAAGACCGGGGAGUGGCGUAAUGCCGAGAACCGGUUGAACGCGGGAAUAGCCGGGCCUUGAGCCUGGUUCGCCCGAUUCCGGGGGCCCAUGAAAAGGAAGCGGGGAACGAUUCCCCACGCCCGUACCGAGAACCGACACAGGUGCCCUGGGCUAGAAACCCAAGGCGGCUCGGGUGACCCUGGGUUAGGGAACUCGGCAAAUUGGCCCCGUAACUUCGGGAGAAGGGGUGCCUGCAGUCCUUGGCUAAACCAGGGACCGCAGGUCGCAGUGGCCAGGGGGACCUGACUGUUUAACAAAAACAUAGGUCCCCGCGAGCCCGUAAGGGUGAGUACGGGGGCUGAAUCCUGGCCACUGGCGGUACGUUAAACCCGGGUACAACCGGGCUAAGCGCCGCUGAAGGCCGGGGGUAACUCUGACCCUCUUAGCGGGGGUCCCUUCAUGUACGUAAUCAUUUUAAAUAACCCUGUGUUACUACCUGCAUGGGGGAUGCGUUAAGCAAAAUUAACAUUGGGUAUGUUGUUGGAUUUAUAGAUGCAGAGGCUAGUUUCUCAGUAUCAAUAAAAUAUCAACGGGGUUAUGGUAUAAGGUUAGACCCAGUGUUCAGUGCAUCACAAUUGAAUAAGGAUCCACUAGAUGUUAUAAGUAGGGUAAUUGGCGUUGGGAGGAUAAUUAGAAAGCCAGGUCAGGAACACUUAUAUCUCUACGUUGUUGAUAACAUGAGUGAGCUAGUAGAAGGCCUAAUACCAUUCCUAGACAAAUAUAAGCAUCUACUACGUUCAAAAAAGAAUGCCUACGAUUUAUUCCGGGAGAUAGUGAUCUCACUAGCUAACGGUGUUCAUAGGGAAAAGGAGGGCAAACGAAAACUCAUUAAACUUGCAUAUACCCUAUCAGCUAUUAACUCUAAAUCCCACAGGAAAAGACCUCUUGAGGAGGUAUUAAAACUCCUUGAAUCAAACUAAGUUUAAUUAAAUUCCCUCUAUGAAGGGACCCCCGGGAGAAAGGUAGCCAAAUGCCUUGCCGGGUAAGUUCCGGCGUGCAUGAAUGGAUCAACGAGGUCCCCACUGUCCCAACCCA